rnacentral:lncRNA from 1 species
GGGUGGGGGAAGGAAUGAGUCAGCCUGGAGCACGUGGCCAGUGGGACCGGAGGGUUCCCCGGCGUCUGUUUGUCGCCAAGGUCCGAAUCCGGCUCCCCUUAACUGGAAGGAAACAUCCAUGUAGGGGCUCACCAAACAAAACAGCUGUGUUUCUAGUGUGGUUUCAGACUUAGAGAAGCAGAGAUCCACGAGGUUGACAACUACAGGCACAAGCCAUUGAAGCUGGAAUGUCCUGUUGCUGGUAUUUCAAUUGACUUAAGCCAACUAUCCCUUCAGUUACAAUAGGAAAGUGCCUCUAAUAAGGCCAAAUAUGCGUACUAACUUGUAGCAACCACGUGUCCGUGCAGUGCCACAGGAGCUAGAGCAGUGACAAUGCUGGUGGCAACAGGGCAGUGUAGCAGGUGCUUCAUGUUCACCUUUUCAACCUUUUCAUUUAAUUGUCACAACUCGGAGGUGGAUUCUGUUAGGGACAGGCUGCCCCAGGACCACUCCGCCCCCGCUAACUCAAUGCAGCUGACCCUUACCCUGAAUACUCUGCAGCUGCAUUCCUGAACCGUUAUCUAGGCGCUAUAGCAAGGUCACCAGACUUGCUACACCGAAGCCCUCUGGGUGGCACGGGGGAGGUCAUGAGAAACGUGGAUUACACCCCCUUGUAAAUUCCUAUUUUCACAAGAUAAUAUAUUGUAAGCCGGUCAUGAGAUUAUAUGUGGUAAAGUUAAUUGACUAACAACCCCAGGGUCUCUCUCCCCCAUAUAAACCCCUCAUUUUGUAAGCUCAGGGCUGCCACCUCCGACUGGUGGAGAAGCCUGGCAGGUUAAUAAACUUACUUGGCCUGA